rnacentral:rRNA from 1 species
GAUAAACGCUGGCGGCGCACAUAAGACAUGCAAGUUGAACGGACUUAAUCGAAAUAUUUAUAUUUUGAAGCGGUUAGUGGCGGACUGGUGAGUAACGCGUAAGGAACCUGCCUAUUAGAGGGGAAUAACAGUGAGAAAUCAUUGCUAAUACCGCAUAUGCCAUAGAUAUCACAUGAUAACAGUGGGAAAGGAGCAAUCCGCUAAUAGAUGGCCUUGCGUCUGAUUAGAUAGUUGGUGGGGUAACGGCCUACCAAGUCGACGAUCAGUAGCCGGACUGAGAGGUUGAACGGCCACAUUGGGACUGAGAUACGGCCCAGACUCCUACGGGAGGCAGCAGUCGGGAAUAUUGCGCAAUGGAGGAAACUCUGACGCAGUGACGCCGCGUAUAGGAAGAAGGUUUUCGGAUUGUAAACUAUUGUCGUUAGGGAAGAGAAAGGACAGUACCUAAGGAGGAAGCUCCGGCUAACUACGU